rnacentral:rRNA from 1 species
UACGUAGGGGGCAAGCGUUGUCCGGAUUCAUUGGGCGUAAAGAGCGUGUAGGCGGCCAGGUAGGUCGGUUGUGAAAACUGGAGGCUCAACCUUCAGAGGUCGACCGAAACCAUCUGGCUAGAGUCCGGGAGAGGAGAGUGGAAUUCCUGGUGUAGCGGUGAAAUGCGCAGAUAUCAGGAAGAACACGCGUGGCGAAAGCGGCUCUCUGGAACGGUACUGACGCUGCGACGCGAAAGCGUGGGGAGCGAACAGG